rnacentral:rRNA from 1 species
CCUACGGGAGGCAGCAGUGGGGAAUAUUGGACAAUGGGCGAAAGCCUGAUCCAGCCAUGCCGCGUGUGUGAAGAAGGCCUUCGGGUUGUAAAGCACUUUCAGUGGGGAAGAAAGCCUUGGGGCUAAUACCCUCGAGGAAGGACAUCACCCACAGAAGAAGCACCGACUAACUCCGUGCCAGCAGCCGCGGUAAUACGGAGGGUGCGAGCGUUAAUCGGAAUUACUGGGCGUAAAGCGCGCGUAGGCGGUCUGAUAAGCCGGUUGUGAAAGCCCCGGGCUCAACCUGGGAACGGCAUCCGGAACUGUCAGGCUAGAGUGCAGGAGAGGAAGGUAGAAUUCCCGGUGUAGCGGUGAAAUGCGUAGAGAUCGGGAGGAAUACCAGUGGCGAAGGCGGCCUUCUGGACUGACACUGACGCUGAGGUGCGAAAGCGUGGGUAGCAAACAGGAUUAGAUACCCUUGUAGUC